rnacentral:rRNA from 1 species
GUCUAUGGCCAUGCUACCCUGAACAGGCCUGAUCUCAUCUGAUCUCAGAAGCUAAUCAGCAGGGUCAGGCCUGGUUGGUACUUAGAUGAGAGACCACCUAGGACGACUGGGUGCUGUAGAUG